rnacentral:other from 1 species
UUUUUCCUGGGAUGUUCGAGAUUCUCUAUUGGUUUUAACCCACAGAAUGUAUACGGGAGACCGAGUUUGUCUGUUUGAUGCCAGGCCAUCCUGAAUGGAAGGCAGAGGCAGACAAUAGGUCACCCACCUGCUGAGAGGCGGGUAGUAAAAUCGUAGAGAGACGGCAUCAUGGGAGGAGU